UUAAGUACAACUAAAUUAAAGUCAAACCGCAAAAUGCUCAUUAAAUCAGUCACGGUUUACUAGAACUAAUAUAUCUUUUUUUUUUUGAUAAAUGGAUAACUGUGGUAAUUCUAAAGCUAAUACUUGCAAUAAAGUUUUAUACAGGGAUGGAUAAAACGCUUUUAUUAAAUCAAAACCAAUCGAUCAACUUGUUUGUUUCGUUUGAAUUUUGGGGAUUCUGAAUAACACCGUAAAUCACACAGUCAUUGUACUGGGGACGUAUCUUUCAAAUGCCUGACUUAUCACACUUUCGAUGGUAAAUUCUAUGUCUACCAUGGUUGUAACGGGUGACGGGGAAUCAGGGUUCGAUUCCGGAGAGGGAGCCUGAAAAACAGCUACCACAUCCAAGGAAGGCAGCAGGCACGCAAAUUACCCACUUCCGGCACGGAGAGGUAGUGACAAAAAAUAACGAUACGGGACUCAUCCGAGGCCCCGUAAUCGGAAUGAGAACACUUUAAAUACUUUAACAAGUAUCAAUUGGAGGGCAAGUCUGGUGCCAGCAGCCGCGGUAAUUCCAGCUCCAAUAGCGUAUAUUAAAGUUGUUGCAGUUAAAAAGCUCGUAGUUGGUUCUGUGUGCCACACUGUUGGUUUACCGCCUGUCGGUGUAACUGACAUGUUGUGGGACGUCCUGCCGGUGGUAAUUGCAGACCUUAUGGUAUUGUUAAUUGCCUUUAAUUCUCAUUGCGGUGCUCUUUAUUGAGUGUCGAAGUGGGCCGGCACUUUUACCUUGAACAAAUUAGAGUGCUCAAGGCAAGCUAAAUAUUGCUUGAAUAUUAGUGCAUGGAAUAAUGGAACAGGACCUUGGUUCUAUUUUGUUGGUUUUCUGAAUCCAAGGUAAUGAUCAAUAUGGACGGUCGGGGGCAUUCGUAUUGCGGCGUUAGAGGUGAAAUUCUUGGAUCGUCGCAAGACGAACUAGAGCGAAAGCAUUUGCCAAGUACGUCUUAAUUGAUCAAGAACGAAAGUUAGAGGUUCGAAGGCGAUCAGAUACCGCCCUAGUUCUAACCAUAAACGAUGUCAGCCAGCGAUCCGUAGAGUUCUUUGAAUGACUCGACGGGCAGCUUCCGGGAAACCAAAGCUUUUGGGUUCUGGGGGAAGUAUGGUUGCAAAGCUGAAACUUAAAGGAAUUGACGGAAGGGCACCACCAGGAGUGGAGCCUGCGGCUUAAUUUGACUCAACACGGGAAACCUCACCAGGCCCAGACAUUGGAAGGAUUGACAGAUUGAUAGCUCUUUCUUGAUUCAGUGGGUAGUGGUGCAUGGCCGUUCUUAGUUGGUGGAACGAUUUGUCUGGUUAAUUCCGAUAACGAACGAGACUCUAGCCUACUAAAUAGACGUUAAGUAUAUACGUCUACUUACGAAGUUAAUCUUCUUAGAGGGACAAGCGGCUUUCAGCCGCACGAGAUUGAGCAAUAACAGGUCUGUGAUGCCCUUAGAUGUUCUGGGCCGCACGCGCGCUACACUGAAGGAAUCAGCGUGUAUUUCUCUGUCCGAAAGGACUGGGCAAUCCGUUGAACCUCCUUCGUGCUAGGAAUUGGGGCUUGCAAUUGUUCCCCAUGAACGAGGAAUUCCCAGUAAGCGUGAGUCAUAAGCUCGCGUUGAUUACGUCCCUGCCCUUUGUACACACCGCCCGUCGCUACUACCGAUUGAAUGAUUUAGUGAGGUCUUCAGACUGGUGGUAAUUGAACAUUGCCUUGUGUAGUGAUCAAUGUCGCCGGAAAGAUGACCAAACUUGAUCAUUUAGAGGAAGUAAAAGUCGUAACAAGGUUUCCGAGG
rnacentral:rRNA from 1 species